GUGUAAGGUCCUACACCUGGGUCGGGGCAAUCUCAGGCACUGCUACAGGAUGGCCAGAGACGAGAUUCAGAGCAGCCCUGCGGAGAAGGACUUGGGGGUGUUGGUUGAUGA